CUGGCUCAGGAUGAACGCUAGCUACAGGCUUAACACAUGCAAGUCGAGGGGCAGCAUUGGGAUAGCUUGCUAUUCAGAUGGCGACCGGCGCACGGGUGAGUAACGCGUAUCCAACCUUCCUGCCAGUAGGGAACAGCCCGGCGAAAGUCGGAUUAAUGCCCUAUGUUCUUCAAUGCGGACAUCUAAGUUGAAGGAAAGAUUCAUCGCUGGCAGAUGGGGAUGCGUCCGAUUAGCUUGCCGGCGGGGUAACGGCCCACCGGGGCGACGAUCGGUAGGGGUUCUGAGAGGAAGGUCCCCCACACUGGUACUGAGACACGGACCAGACUCCUACGGGAGGCAGCAGUGAGGAAUAUUGGUCAAUGGGCGUAAGCCUGAACCAGCCAAGUAGCGUGCAAGGAUGACGGCCCUACGGGUUGUAAACUGCUUUUAUGCGGGGAUAAAGUGCGGCACGUGUGCCGCUUUGCAGGUACCGCAUGAAUAAGGACCGGCUAAUUCCGUGCCAGCCGCAGC
rnacentral:rRNA from 1 species